CCCAUAUCCAGAGACUGGGAGCUCCUCCCUAGUGCUUCUGCUUCCUUCAGUGGAGCCACAGUCCAAGAGCCUGGGUUCUGGGCAGUGUGGGCCUCCUAAUUCCCAACAGGUCGCUGGGGGUACACCCGUCAGACUUUUCCUCUACCCCUCUGCAGCUUGGUAGCCAAAGUGGCUUCCUUCCUUAGGGAGCCACUGCUCAGCUCAGCUUCUACCUCUGUUAGACUCACAGCUGACAGUGGUGAACUUAGGCUCCCUGCUGCCAGUGCCAACCACUGCCCCAACCCCUCUAUCUCUGUUACCUGUCGGUCCUGCUCUCCAGCUCCCCCAACCUAGCUGUGUGGGUCCCCACUUGCUCCUGCUGCUCAGGUGUUACUUUCACCCGCCAGGCGCUCCCCCCACCCCAUAGCUUGGGAUGAGCAGAGCUCCACUCAGUAGAUCUAAAGCCUUUCCAGGAUUAGAGAAAGCUGAGCAGCAACCUGGGGGAUCCUGGGUAAUCAUGGACUCCCCCAUCUGGAAGGCCCUUCUCUGGUCUCAAUUCCUGUCUCAAGGCCCCAUCUUCCACCUACUUCAGUGGAGUAUUCUGAACUCAACACAUCGACCUCUACCCGCAGGCUUCCCCACCAGAUGCCCUACACUGGAUGCUGAAGACUUGAGAACAGACAGGGCAACCUUUUUGAGAAGGGCUUCCCCAAAAAGCAGAGGAGCCUGGGUCUCUAGGGAAGAAGGAGCCUGGAUUGCCACCACCCCGCUGA
rnacentral:lncRNA from 1 species